UGAUCCCAAACCAGUCAGACCAGCUCCCAGU
rnacentral:piRNA from 1 species